CGCGCCCGGCCCCUGUCCUGCCCUCUGGUCCUCGGGCACCGCCUGCAGGCUUUGUAACUUGGGAGCACAUCUCUGGUGAUCAUGGUUUAUGCAGUGAGUGACAGUAAAUCCUCCUCCCUGUACCAGCAAAGGCAUAGGAGUCUGAGAGUCUGCGAGAUUCUCAUAGAUGUGGUUGCACCUGGCAAGGAGCCCAACUGCAGAAAUAAGCAGGCAAAAGCGAGUUUCUGAGCCAGUUCCAGCCCGGCCCAGAUGUUGGCCCCUGACAACUAGCUGUGGCUGGUGCGGAAGGAGGAGCGAGGGAAGAGGGGCAGAUCGAGGCUGCCAGAAACAUAUGAAGCUCAUUUCUGCCACCCUUCCUAGAAAACUGGUUGCUGACAGAGACAUGUGGAAAGGUAAGUG
rnacentral:lncRNA from 1 species